GACGAACGCUGGCGGCGUGCCUAAUACAUGCAAGUCGAACGAGAGCGACCGGUGCUUGCACUGGUCAAUCUAGUGGCGAACGGGUGAGUAACACGUGGGUAACCUGCCCAUCAGAGGGGGAUAACAUCCGGAAACGGAUGCUAAAACCGCAUAGGUCUUCGAGCCGCAUGGCUUGAAGAGGAAAAGAGGCGCUAGCUUCUGCUGAUGGAUGGACCCGCGGUGCAUUAGCUAGUUGGUGAGGUAACGGCUCACCAAGGACGUGAUGCAUAGCCGACCUGAGAGGGUAAUCGGCCACAUUGGGACUGAGACACGGCCCAAACUCCUACGGGAGGCAGAAGUAGGGAAUCUUCCGCAAUGGACGCAAGUCUGACGGAGCAACGCCGCGUGAGUGAAGAAGGUUUUCGGAUCGUAAAACUCUGUUGUUGGAGAAGAACAAGUGCUAGAGUAACUGUUAGCGCCUUGACGGAAUCUAACCAGAAAGCCACGGCUAACUACGG
rnacentral:rRNA from 1 species